UAACGGAGAGUUUGAUCCUGGCUCAGGACGAACGCUAGCGGCGCGCUUAACACAUGCAAGUCGAACGCCAACGCCAGACUUCGGUUUGGCUAGUAGCGUGGCGGAUGGGUGAGUAACGCGUGGGUAAUCAACCUUUAAGCGGGGGAUAAGCUCGGGAAACUGAGUACAAUACCGCAUGUUAUCUUUUUACCGCAUGGUAGAGAGAUUAAAGCCUUAGGGCGCUUAGAGACGAGCCCGCGACUUAUUAGCUUGUUGGUGAGGUAAUGGCUCACCAAGGCUUCGAUGAGUAGCUGGUCUGAGAGGAUGAUCAGCCACACUGGGACUGAGAUACGGCCCAGACUCCUACGGGAGGUAGCAGUGAGGAAUAUUGCGCAAUGGACGAAAG
rnacentral:rRNA from 1 species